CAGUCGCCGCGGGAAUACGAAGGGUGCAAGCGUUAAUCGGAAUUACUGGGCGUAAAGCGUGCGUAGGCGGUUUGUUAAGUCUGUUGUGAAAUCCCCGGGCUCAACCUGGGAAUGGCAAUGGAUACUGGUAAGCUAGAGUGUGUCAGAGGAUGGUGGAAUUCCCGGUGUAGCGGUGAAAUGCGUAGAGAUCGGGAGGAACAUCAGUGGCGAAGGCGGCCAUCUGGGACAACACUGACGCUGAGGCACGAAAGCGUGGGGAGCAAACAGGAUUAGAUACCCCAGUAGUCCCUGUCUCUUAUAA
rnacentral:rRNA from 1 species